UUGAUGUUACGGAGUUCGCGGAAACGCGAGGGUAUUCAACGAAAAAUCGGUGCCGCGCGGCGGCUAGCUAGCGCACGGAAAGGUGAAAACGUCGUACGUGCGAAUUAUCCGUUGGCACGAGAGCAGAGGAGAGCAAACGAAGGAAAGAGAAAGAAGGAAACUGUCUUCGUCCAUGCGUAAGCGUAGCCCUUAUUCCACCAGAGUGCUGAAUACUCGGAGCCAAUGCCAUCCGUACGGACGGCACGCUGCCA